rnacentral:rRNA from 1 species
UACGGAGGGGGCUAGCGUUGUUCGGAAUUACUGGGCGUAAAGCGCGCGUAGGCGGACCUGUAAGUUGGGGGUGAAAGCCCGGGGCUCAACCUCGGAAUUGCCUUCAAUACUGCAAGUCUGGAGGUCAGGAGAGGCGAGCGGAAUUCCGAGUGUAGAGGUGAAAUUCGUAGAUAUUCGGAGGAACACCAGUGGCGAAGGCGGCUCGCUGGACUGAUACUGACGCUGAGGUGCGAAAGCGUGGGGAGCAAACAGG